UUUAAUGACUGCCACCAGCUGGAUGGUCAGUGCAGAGGGGCGUAUUAUCUUUGGGCUGGACAAAGAGAACGCCUUUGCUGAUGCACUGUCGGUCUUCUUUGCAUCAUUUUAUGUGCUCAACCUGGAGUACCAAGAGGCCGCAUGCACCACAUUGGAGCUGAUUCAAAGAUUUUUUGUCAGGAUCAACCCUGAAGAAGGGACAAAAUGUACCUCGAAAGUUGGCACGAGCAGAAAGACGGGGAAUGUGGUCAAGCGAAAGGUUGUUCAAAUUAAUCCCCAUGUCACAACCUUCCUCCAACGGCUGACGGAAUUUGAGUGGAAAACUUCAAAUUAGAUGACCAAUCGCCUCAGUGUUCUGGGCAACACGUGAAGAAGCCACCCACCUCAGCAUCCUGCAAAUAACUGGCUGUAUUGUUUAAUUCUUUUUUGCAAC